GUCAAAAGUCAAUAAUGGUACAUGUAUGGAGAGGCCGAGUCAUCACCCGUGUGACCGAUUUCGGUGCCGAGUCGUACUUCCCCAUGUGCCUCACUCACCUGUACGACCCAGAAGGAAACACAGCGUGCGCGUACGAUCGAGAACGAAACAGAGCCUCCGCACUGCACCGGGAAGGGGAAAAUACGUGGUCGCGGCAGCGUCACCUCCUUCAUCCACCGCCGAGCCCGGUUGUGGAUUCCGCAGGGCUCGCAGAAAGGCGCGAUCUUGAGCGUGGAUUCCCGGCUUCCGGUGCUCAAUUUGCUUGGCCUGCAAGAAAGAUGGCAGCUUGAUUAGGACGAGCACUUCAUCUGAUUUCGGCGAUAUUGUUCUCAAACAGUCUCUUACAGAGACUGAGGGGUUUGAUCAAGAAAGAAGAAGGAAUAAAGGGAAGAAGGCUGGAAUACGCAGAAUCCAUAUUGACCAAAAAGGAGAGAUUUUGUGGUCCUUUUUUAUUCUUCUUCAACAUGGUAACCUCAUCUCUCUGUUGAUUGCCAGUCCAGAUUGAGAGAGAGAGAGAGAGAGAGAGAG